rnacentral:lncRNA from 7 species
GCAAAGAGGUGCUGGGUUGCUUCAGAGCUUCAGCUGACUUUAGACACAUAAGAACUGUUUUCUUCUUCACAAAAGAGGGCUGGAAAAACUGGUGGUAUUGGAUGAGGUGAUUGAUACCAAAACACGACAUGAAGAAUUGCUGUGUACUCUGAAGGGAACACAAUGAGGAAUCUGGAGUGAAAGGAUAUCUUGAAGAAAAGCGAUUUAUGAAACAGUGAGCAGAACGCUAUUCUGGAGAAUGAGAUGUCUGAUUUUUGUUCCAAGCUCUGCCAGAGUGACCUUGCACUGCCACUUCCUCUGUAUUUCAGCAUCCACAACUAUAAAAAAUAUCUCGAGAAACCAUUUCUAGUUGCUUUCAAUUUGUUUUGGAUUGAACUCGUGAUCUUAAUGAUGAAGGACGCUACAACCCAUUAGCAGUCAUCUGAGCCGUCCAGAUCUCUUGAGAGCCUCUUUCAAUUUUUCUGGCCAACUUUUUGAUUUUGGGUCAACGCUUUCAUCUCAGAAACCAACAGGGAUAAUUGUACGUUUUGUCUGCCCUUGACUUGAUUAACAACUCUUUGCUGUUGUGCCCAGCUGCUAACACCCAUCCUGAAAUUUCAGGAGACCAGUAUGUUCUUAUGAAGUCUUCGGAGACUUUGAGAGCAGUGCAGUACAAAGACCAUCUCUGAUCAUUAUCCUUAAUGCUUCUAUUACUUUCUGUAAUGUGAAUUCCUGAUCAAGAUCUCGAUUACAGAAAACAAAAUGUCAGAGGAUGCCUCUUAGUUCUGAAAUGACAUUUGGGGCUGAACGAAUGCGUUUGAAAGGGAGAGAGCUCUGCUGUGCUGUACCAUUGAUGCAUCAAACUGAUCAGGUGAAUAUUAAUUUUGUGGUUCCUUCCCACCUCUGUGGUCCCCCCAUAUAAUUCUGGACACAGAUUAGUUAAAGCACGUAGUAAAAAGUGUAGUAAUCCAAGCAGUUUAGCUCUUUUUCCUCAGCCAGCAAUAUUGGGGACUAACAAGUAGAUGGCAUUCUAUCUCUAUUUUUAAAUUAUGAAACAACAGUUUAGGAUAUCAUAGAGUGCAUUCCUUUCAUUUAUUAUGCUACUCUGUUAGUCUGAACAAAGAAAGAAAUGUAUUUUUUUAACAGUUGUAGCCUCUGAUUCUAAAUAAUCAAUAUAAAUACUGCACUAAAAUUGAUUCAAGAUAAAAUGAUUUCACUUUUAUGUUGAAAUACUCUGGGUUUAAUAAAAUGUC